GAUGAAGAACGCAGCGAAAUGCGAUAAGUAAUGUGAAUUGCAGAAUUCAGUGAAUCAUCGAAUCUUUGAACGCACCUUGCACCCUUUGGUAUUCCGAAGGGUAUGCUCGUUUGAGUGUCAUUGUACUCUCACACUUCUAAUUCCUUUCGGGAUUGGGAGCGGUGGACUUGGGUGUUGCUGCUUUAGUUGUGGCUCACCUCAAAUAAGUUAGUGCAACUCUUGGUUGGACACAGUACGGCGUGAUAAGUGUCUUCGCCGGCGCCUCUGUAAGGAGGGUGGCCGAUCGGGAGCUCUGUGCUUCAAACCGUCUUCGGACAAUCUUUGACAACUUGACCUCAAAUCGAGUAGGACUACCCGCUGAACUUAAGCAUAUCAAUAAGCGGAGGA
rnacentral:misc_RNA from 1 species